UGCAGUCGACGAACUCUGGUAUUGAUUGGUGCUUGCAUCAUGAUUUACAUUUGAGUGAGUGGCGAACUGGUGAGUAACACGUGGGAAACCUGCCCAGAAGCGGGGGAUAACACCUGGAAACAGAUGCUAAUACCGCAUAACAACUUGGACCGCAUGGUCCGAGCUUGAAAGAUGGCUUCGGCUAUCACUUUUGGAUGGUCCCGCGGCGUAUUAGCUAGAUGGUGGGGUAACGGCUCACCAUGGCAAUGAUACGUAGCCGACCUGAGAGGGUAAUCGGCCACAUUGGGACUGAGACACGGCCCAAACUCCUACGGGAGGCAGCAGUAGGGAAUCUUCCACAAUGGACGAAAGUCUGAUGGAGCAACGCCGCGUGAGUGAAGAAGGGUUUCGGCUCGUAAAACUCUGUUGUUAAAGAAGAACAUAUCUGAGAGUAACUGUUCAGGUAUUGACGGUAUUUAACCAGAAAGCCACGGCUAACUACGUGCCAGCAGCCGCGGUAAUACGUAGGUGGCAAGCGUUGUCCGGAUUUAUUGGGCGUAAAGCGAGCGCAGGCGGUUUUUUAAGUCUGAUGUGAAAGCCUUCGGCUCAACCGAAGAAGUGCAUCGGAAACUGGGAAACUUGAGUGCAGAAGAGGACAGUGGAACUCCAUGUGUAGCGGUGAAAUGCGUAGAUAUAUGGAAGAACACCAGUGGCGAAGGCGGCUGUCUGGUCUGUAACUGACGCUGAGGCUCGAAAGUAUGGGUAGCAAACAGGAUUAGAUACCCUGGUAGUCCAUACCGUAAACGAUGAAUGCUAAGUGUUGGAGGGUUUCCGCCCUUCAGUGCUGCAGCUAACGCAUUAAGCAUUCCGCCUGGGGAGUACGGCCGCAAGGCUGAAACUCAAAGGAAUUGACGGGGCCCGCACAAGCGGUGGAGCAUGUGGUUUAAUUCGAAGCUACGCGAAGAACCUUACCAGUCUUGACAUACUAUGCAAAUCU
rnacentral:rRNA from 2 species